rnacentral:rRNA from 1 species
UACGUAGGGGGCUAGCGUUGUUCGGAUUUAUUGGGCGUAAAGCGCGUGUAGGCGGCUUGUUAAGUCGGGUGUGAAAUCCCUCAGCUCAACUGAGGAAGUGCGCCCGAAACUGGCGAGCUUGAGUGCCGGAGAGGAUGGCGGAAUACCCCAAGUAGAGGUGAAAUUCGUAGAUAUGGGGUGGAACACCGGUGGCGAAGGCGGCCAUCUGGACGGUAACUGACGCUGAGACGCGAAAGCGUGGGUAGCAAACAGG